rnacentral:snRNA from 1 species
AUACUUAACUGGCAGGGGGAUACCAUGAUUAAAAAGGUGGUUCACCCAGUGUGGCGCUCGGCCAUUGCACUCUAGCUGUCUGACCCCUGCGGAUUCCCCAAAUGUGGGAAUCUCGACUGCAUAAUUUGUGCUACUGCGAGACUGCGUCCGCGCUCUCCCCUG